rnacentral:rRNA from 1 species
UACGUAGGGUGCGAGCGUUGUCCGGAAUUACUGGGCGUAAAGAGCUCGUAGGUGGUUUGUUGCGUCGACUGUGAAAACCGGGGGCUUAACCCUCGGCGGGCGGGCGAUACGGGCAGACUGGAGUACUGCAGGGGAGACUGGAAUUCCUGGUGUAGCGGUGGAAUGCGCAGAUAUCAGGAGGAACACCGGUGGCGAAGGCGGGUCUCUGGGCAGUAACUGACGCUGAGGAGCGAAAGCGUGGGGAGCGAACAGG